AAAAGAAAAAUGAAAAAUGAAAAAUGAAAGGGGGGGUGGGAGUUUCAUUUCUUCUUGUGUUCGUUCUUGAUGUCCUCGUCGUGCUUUUUUUAGAUUCCUGGAACUGAGGCAACCAGUGCUGGAGACGAGAAGAAAGAAACGCGCAUGCGCAAAUUAAAUGAAAAAAAGGCGAUGAA
rnacentral:ribozyme from 1 species